rnacentral:rRNA from 1 species
GUAGUCUGCAACUCGACUACAUGAAGCUGGAAUCGCUAGUAAUCGCGGAUCAGAAUGCCGCGGUGAAUACGUUCCCGGGUCUUGUACACACCGCCCGUCACACCAUGGGAGUCGGAAAUGCCCGAAGUCAGUGACCCAACCGCAAGGAGGGAGCUGCCGAAGGUGGAGCCGGUAACUGGGGUGAAGUCGUAACAAGGUAAC